CUUCCGUUAUUGGGAGGCAUUGCCUGCCCAGUGACAACUGUUUAACGGCCGCGGUAUCCUGACCGUGCAAAGGUAGCAUAAUCAUUUGUUCUCUAAAUAAGGACUUGUAUGAAUGGCCGCACGAGGGUUUUACUGUCUCUUACUUCCAAUCAGUGAAAUUGACCUUCCCGUGAAGAGGCGGGAAUGCACAAAUAAGACGAGAAGACCCUAUGGAGCUUUAACUAACCAACCCAAAGAGAAUAGAUUUAACCAUUAAGGAAUAACAACAAUCUCCAUGAGUUGGUAGUUUCGGUUGGGGUGACCUCGGAGAAUAAAAAAUCCUCCGAGCGAUUUUAAAGACUAGACCCACAAGUCAAAUCACUCUAUCGCUCAUUGAUCCAAAAACUUGAUCAACGGAACAAGUUACCCUAGGGAUAACAGCGCAAUCCUAUUCAAGAGUCCAUAUCGACAAUAGGGUUUACGACCUCGAUGUUGGAUCAGGACAUCCUGAUGGUGCAACCGCUAUCAAAGGUUCGUUUGUUCAACGAUUAAAGUCCUACGUGAUCUGAGUUCAGACCGG
rnacentral:rRNA from 1 species